rnacentral:rRNA from 1 species
AUUGAACGCUAGCGGGAUGCUUUACACAUGCAAGUCGAACGGCAGCGCGGACUUCGGUCUGGCGGCGAGUGGCGAACGGGUGAGUAAUGUAUCGGAACGUGCCCAGUAGCGGGGGAUAACUACGCGAAAGCGUAGCUAAUACCGCAUACGCCCUACGGGGGAAAGCAGGGGAUCGUAAGACCUUGCACUAUUGGAGCGGCCGAUAUCGGAUUAGCUAGUUGGUGAGGUAACGGCUCACCAAGGCGACGAUCCGUAGCUGGUUUGAGAGGACGACCAGCCACACUGGGACUGAGACACGGCCCAGACUCCUACGGGAGGCAGCAGUGGGGAAUUUUUGACAAUGGGGGCAACCCUGAUCCAGCCAUCCCGCGUGUGCGAUGAAGGCCUUCGGGUUGUAAAGCACUUUUGGCAGGAAAGAAACGUCGCGGGCUAAUACCCCGUGGAACUGACGGUACCUGCAGAAUAAGCACCGGCUAACUACGUG